rnacentral:rRNA from 1 species
CCUACGGGCGGCAGCAGUGGAGAAUCAUUCACAAUGGGGGAAACCCUGAUGCUGCGACGCCGCGUGGGGGAAUGAAGGUCUUCGGAUUGUAACCCCCUGUCUUGUGGGAGCAAAGUAAAAAGAUAGUACCACAAGAGGAAGAGACGGCUAACCCUGUGCCAACAGCCGCAGUAAUACAGAGGUCUCACGCGUUGAUGGGAAUCACUGGGCGUAAAGCGUGCGUAGGCUGUUUCGUAAGUUGUGUGUGAAUGGCGCGGGCUCAACCCGCGGACGGCACAUGAUACUGCGAGACUAGAGUAAUGGAGAGGGAAGUGGAAUUCUCGGUGUAGCAGUGAAAUGCGUAGAUAUCGAGAAGAACACUCAUGGCGAAGGCAGGUUCCUGGACAUUAACUGACGCUGAGGCACGAAGGCCAGGGGAGCGAAAGGGAUUAGAUACCCUUGUAGUC